UGGGGAAUUUUGCGCAAUGGGGGAAACCCUGACGCAGCGACGCCGCGUGGAGGAUGAAGGUCUUCGGAUUGUAAACUCCUUUUGUCGGGGAAGAUAAUGACGGUACCCGUCGAAUAAGCCACGGCUAACUCUGUGCCAGCAGCCGCGGUAAGACAGAGGUGGCAAGCGUUGUUCGGAAUUACUGGGCUCAAAGGGCGCGUAGGCGUCCCGACAAGUCAGAUGUGGAAGCUUCCCGCUUAACGGGGAAAUUGCAUCUGAAACUGUCGGGAUUGAGUCAGCGAGGGGAUGGCGGAAUUCCAGGUGUAGCGGUGAAAUGCGUAGAUAUCUGGAGGAAGGCCGGUGGCGAAGGCGGCCAUCUGGCGCUGAACUGACGCUGAGGCGCGAAAGCGUGGGGAGCAAACAGG
rnacentral:rRNA from 1 species